GAAAGGAGCUGGAUCGCUGGAGUUUUAUGAGAGACACCAAGACAAGCCUGGAAGUCCACCUGGAGGUGGUCAUGAGGGGGUACUGUCAUGAUUGAUGUCAUGGCAGCUCCUCCUUUCCCUUUGUUUGUUGUCUAUUUCCCCAUGUCUGUCUGAUCCUCAUGUCUCCCCCUCCCCUGUCUGUGUUCUCUGUGUGUGGGUGUGGCUAACUCUCUCCUGCAAGCACCAGGUGAAACUCAUUGCACUAUCAGACCCACUCCAUAAAGCCUCUGGAUCUCCAGCCUCUCAUCACCAGAUCAUACAAUCAACCAUAGCGUUGCUUCCGCCAUUUCGCCUGCCUGCUUGCCUGCCUGCCUGCCUGUCUACUGCUCCUGCUUGCUUGUGUUUGAGCUCUCUUCACUGCUUACUUAUCGGUGCACCCAGCUAUCACCGGUCUAUAACUGUGAGUCCUCCACCCGUGGAACAAGCCAGCCAGCUGGACGCUGACCACAUUGAUAUGCAACUCCGCCAUUACACUAGAGGACACCAAACAAAGAGACUCACUCACCGGCCACCGCCGCCUCACUUUUUCAGUAUAGGUAUUGAUCCACACCCUUUGAUAGCUUUAUUCGGUGUAAGACCUGAGGACUGUGACUGGCCACUCAAUAUGUACAAUGUUGUGGCCUUUACUAUCUUACUCAUUGCCAAAUACUAUUAAAUUGGAAGAGCUCCAAACCCCCA